CCCUUAGAUGUUCUGGGCGGCCCGCGCACUACAUUGGCACUAGCAAAGAGAUCCUAGAUUGAAUUCUUUGGGGUAUUCUUCUAAAUGGUGUCGUGACUGGGAUAAAUCCUUGUAAUUAUUGGUUUUGAACGAGGAAUUCCCUGUAAUCGCGGUUUAUCAGCUCGCGUUGAAUGCGUCCCUGCCCUUUGUACACACCGCCCGUCGCUCCUACCGAUGGAUCGUCCGGUGAAGCUCACGGAGUGACUGUUCACGCAACGGUUUACGAAGUGAAAUGGACCUCACGAUUUAGAGGAAGGAGAAGUCGUAACA
rnacentral:rRNA from 1 species